GGAGACAUGGCUCAAUGGUAGAGCAUGUACUUAGCAAGUAUCAGUCUCUGAGUUUAAAUUCCAGUACCACCA
rnacentral:tRNA from 1 species